GGAGACGCAAUAGGCUGGAGGGAGGGGUAGGCUGCAAACUGGAGGGUUGGUUGGAAAUUUGAAUAUGGAGCAGUUAACACCCCUAGAACCCUGUCAAGUCUGGGCAGGCUGGCGACUGCUGCCCCUCCCCCAUGCACCCUAGUGGAGAGCUGGGGGCUUGGGCUGCAGGGGGAGUUCAUCCAGAGAGGCUCUGAACUGGGAGACGCCUCAGUGAGAAUGCUUACAUCCACACGCUUUUCCAUACGCUGCCCCCAAAACGCUUUGUCAGUCUCUCACCUCCUGGCUUGAGAAUAAAGGAUUUCUCUCUAAGGAAACCAACCAAGCCAAUGGCAAAGACCUACAGAUACUGCCAUCUGGGGCUCCCAGUGGACCAGCUGGACCCCCAGCCCAGCACCCUACAGCGAGGCCCACAGUGGGCGAGUCCUUCCCGCACAAGGAAAGCUCCCCAGUCAGACCUGAGUGCCCCGCUCUUCAAUGUGAGUGGACAGCUGAGGAUCACUUAGGCCUCUGAGGAAAGUCUGCGCUUGAAAGUUACCCGAAUAAACAGAAGGUGAGAAGCAGGAAGGAAGGGACUUAAGGCAGGGAGAAAACUUUUUAAAAGAGUAAUUGAUAUUCCCAGAAAACUAAGAGAAGAUACCACAUCCAAAAAGUAAGGAACAAUAUUUCAUGUAAUUUUUUCCCCAGCUUUUUUUGUUGUGACUGCUGUCGAACUGAUUCCGACUCCUAGCGACCCUGUGGACAGCAGACUGCAACCCUGCCUGGGUUUUUGGUGCCAUCUCUCCCCUUCCGGCGCUAUAUCAGACAAUGAAUGCUCGACUGCUAUUUGUGGGGUCUUUUGGAAGUGGGUGACCAGGCCCUUUGUCCCAGUCUGUCUGAGUCUGGAAAUCCUGCUGAAGCCUGUCUACCACACCACAGUGUGACAACUGACAGACAGGUGGUGUGGCUCUCUGACUGGAAACAAACCCGGGCAACGGCAAUGAGAGUGCCAGAUCUUAACCCCUGGACCAUCUUUCCACCUUUACCGAAGACAUAACUGGCAUACGACAUUGUGCGGAGGGACGGGAUGGAUCCCGACCAGGAGGUCCUGCCUGGAGCCUCAGGCUGUAAGCUCGUGUUAUAGUCACUCAGCAUCUAUUAAGCAUCUGCCAUGGGCCAGGCCCUCUUCUCAGCACUGGGAACACAUCAAUGGACCAAAGAGACAAAGCCCCGACUUGGUGGAUCUAUAUUCUAGUGUUUAUCUUUGAAGCCUCACGUUUUACUCGAAACCAUCACAGAAGGAGCUGCCACCUGAAGGGACACAGCCCCGCCUGGAGGAGAGCAGAACCUGGGAAGGGGGCAAGUUCAAAGGCACUGGAGACCCAGAGACGACUGCAGAGGUGAGAUGCCCGUCCUCAUGGAGCUGCCCUCGAGUAGGGGCGUCACAGGACAAACCCGUAAACCUGUUACCCACUUUAACAAGAUAAUUCCGACUGGUGAGAAGCACCAUGAAGAAAGCAAAGCAGAGUCAUCGGAUGGAGCGUGAUGGACAGAGGCCACUUUUGGAAGGUCCUUCUAGGCAGUGCUUCCUCAGGAGCCAGUUUCAACAAUUAUCCUGCGAAAUUAUUGUUAAAUUUAAACAAUCUUUCAACGAAAGAAAUGGAUUCUGGAUCCAGAAAUUUUCUGUGCGUGGAUUUUCUUUUGAUGGAAAAUAAAAUUCUGUCAUUCCUG
rnacentral:lncRNA from 1 species